rnacentral:rRNA from 1 species
UACGUAGGGUGCAAGCGUUAAUCGGAAUUACUGGGCGUAAAGCGUGCGCAGGCGGUUUUGUAAGUUUGUCGUGAAAUCCCCGGGCUCAACCUGGGAAUUGCGAUGAAGACUGCAAGGCUAGAAUCUGGCAGAGGGGGGUAGAAUUCCACGUGUAGCAGUGAAAUGCGUAGAGAUGUGGAGGAACACCGAUGGCGCAAGGCAGCCCCCUGGGUCAAGAUUGACGCUCAU